GUCAGGUGGGCAAAGUUUCGGAUGAACUUACGAUAGAAAUUCCCAAAUCCUAGGAACCUCUGCACAUCCUUCUUUGUUUUGGGUGUUUUCCAUUCCAGCACCGCCUGGACCUUGCCGGGAUCCAUGGCCAAUCCCUUGUCAGACAGGCGAUACCCCAGGAAUUCCACCUCCUUGGUAUGAAACUGACACUUCUCCAGUUUCACCCACAGCUGGUUGGCUUGCAGCCUGCUCAACACUUCUCUGACGUCUCUCACAUGCUGCUCCUCAUUCUCAGAAUACACCAACACGUCGUCUAAAAAGGCCACACAAUUCUUGUAAAGCAAAGGCCCCAGGACGUGGUUCAUAAACGAUUGAAAUGUUGCGGAGCCUGCUUGUAGACCGAAGGGCAUAACCAAAUAUUCAAAUGCCCCUAAAGGGGUGAACAUAGUGGUUUUCCAUUCAUCCCCCUUCCUUAUUCGUACCAGGUUGUACGCCCCCCUUAGGUCCAGCUUUGUGAAAAUCUUUCCCUUCCGCACCCUUGUCAAAAUGUCGUCAAUCCUGGGCAUAGGGAAGGCUACUGGUUCUGACACUGCAUUUAAGGCCCUGAAGUCACACACCAGCCUCGGCUUGUUCGUGUUUUUCUUAUCCACAAAAACACUGGGCUGCCCCCACCGCCCUGGACUCUCUGAUGAACCCUCUCUUCAGGUUCUUGUCAAUGAACUCUCUUAACUCCUGCAUCUCUCUGUCUGACAUGGCGUACAGCUUGCCUACAGGGAGCUGUGCUCCAGGGAGUAAAUUGAUUUGACAGUCAAAGGGUCUAUGCGGGGGGAGUUGGUCAGCUUCCCUUUCGCUGAAGACGUCACGGAGAUCUGCAUAUUGUCGUGGUACCUUCACGUUCUCUGUUACUUCAGUCCCUGCUAGGGUGGCUUGGACCCCUGCCAAACCCUUUCCCUCUUUGCAGUGUUCUAAGCAAUGUGCUGAACCAAAAGAAACCACUCUCUGAUGCCAGCCCACCAGCGGAUCAUGUAACGCUAGCCAGCUCAUCCCCAAUAUAAUGGGAGCUCCUCCCAAGGUGGCCACAUUAAAAGCUAUCAGUUCGGUGUGCCUUGCUACCUUCAUUAUCAUUGGGACGGUCUGCAAGCUGACUUCUCCUCCCAACAGCUCCCUGCCAUCAAUCGUGGUCACCUGCAGGGGGCUGCUUAAAGGGAUCGUCUGUAUCUGGUGUUCAGCUGCAAACUCUUUGCUCAUAAAAUUGCAGGAGCUGCCUGAGUCCAACAGCGCCUUUAUCUUUAGAGGGUGUCCGUUUGGCAGCUCUAGCGUCACUUCUAUCACUAGGGCGGGUUUAGGAGGUUCUGGCGUGGGCACUCUCACUGCUCUUUGGCCUGGCUGCUGUGCCCCGACAGUGGCAGCCAGGCGUUGGCUUUACUUGCUCCGGUAUAUCUUCCUCUCUUCCAUCCACAGCUCCUACCAUCCCUUGCCAUUCUUUCCUCUGGGGGCAGACUCUGGCAAAGUGACCUGGCUGUUGGCAGAGAUAGCAUUUCCGGGCGCCUUUUCCCUCCUUUUUUCCCCCCUCACUGGGCUUUGAAACUGCGCGCGCGCGCUGUUCCGAUUUCCAUCGGCUCUGCCGGUGGGAAAGUUGGCUCUGGAAUGUCUGGAAUGCGGAACUCCUUCCAACGUUCCCCUUUCCCUUCCCGCCUCUCCAAUGCUCUCGCCUCCUGGCGCGCUCCUAUGGCCAGCGCUGAUUUGGUCAGCUGGUCCAUAGACUCCACCCUGGGCGCCCGGGAAAGUUCGUCUUUCACAGCCGAAGAAAGCCCUUCUUCAAAGAGCAUUUGAAUGGGUUCCGCCGAUAAGUCCCACCCCAAUCUGUGAACAAGCAUGGUGAACUCAGUCCAGUACUCACGGACAGAUCGGCUCCCCUGUUUGCAAGCCAUUAACUGUCUGCGCACCACUCCCUUUUCAAUAUCGCUGGAAAACAUCAGAUCCAUGGCGCGAAAGAACUUCAUCGUGUCCUUUAGGACGUCACUAUUCGCUGCCAUCAAGGGUCUAACCCAGUCUCUCGCCCCUUUUCAAGAUGCUCAAUCACGAAAGCCACUCGUGAUUCCUCGUCAGGGAAUUCAUCAAACUGCAGAUUGAGGGCAUAUUGCAUUUCUGUCCGAAAGCCAUGAUAGUUUUUGGGCUCCCCCCCAAACUUCUGCACCAAUCCUGGUACCUUUCUGGCGAGCUGGGUGGCUUUCCCCUUUUGUCUGCAUCCUGAGCCCUCCUCUCCUCAAGCCUCGCCGUCUGCAUCGCUAGCUGGACCUCCAACACCCGGUACCUUUCUUCCAGGCUUGGACCCGCUCCAGCUCCUGCUUCUCCGGUUCCGGCUGGGUUGCUCAUGAUGCCUUCUCCUGCACAAGCUGCUUUCAAAGACUGUCGGAAUGCUGUGAUGAGAUGAUGAGCUGCUUGUGCGUAAAAUCGUAUCCCCUCAGAGUUUGUUCAAGUGCACAAACCUCUGUCUGUGACGGAGCCCCUCAGACAUGGCUCCUCUAGUCACUAGCAGAUUCCGACAGUGGUUGCUUUCGUAAUCGCUUCCAACAUAAAAGCUCCUUAACGGAAACACGUCUUCUGGACUCUCUGCGUGACAGUUUCCGGCGAGGAGUGGGUGUUCUUACAGGAGGUCCUGAAACCUCUCCACUGUUUUCGCUGGAAGUGUCUCUGAGCCAUCCCUCCAGCUCAGCUCCUCUCCCCUGCUGGUUCCCUCUUCAGCUGCUGCGUCUCUCCCAACCUGUGUGAGCCCUUUCACCUCCCUGCUGGUUCCCUCUUCAGCUGCUGCGUCUCUCCCAACCUGUGUGAGCCCUUUCACCUCCCUUCCGUCCGAUGGCAGUUCCCUGACACU
rnacentral:lncRNA from 1 species